CGCCUGGGGAGUGCGGCCGCAAGGUUAAAACUCAAAUGAAUUGACGGGGGCCCGCACAAGCGGUGGAGCAUGUGGUUUAAUUCGACGCAACGCGAAGAACCUUACCUGGCCUUGACAUCCAGAGAGCUUUCCAGAGAUGGAUUGGUGCCUUCGGGAACUCUGAGACAGGUGCUGCAUGGCCGUCGUCAGCUCGUGUCGUGAGAUGUUGGGUUAAGUCCCGUAACGAGCGCAACCCCUAUCCCUGGUUGCUAGCAGGUAAUGCUGAGAACUCCAGGGAGACUGCCGGUGACAAACCGGAGGAAGGUGGGGAUGACGUCAGGUCAUCAUGGCCCUUACGGCCAGGGCUACACACGUGCUACAAUGGCACGUACAGAGGGCUGCCAACUCGCGAGAGUGAGCCAAUCCCUUAAAACGCGUCGUAGUCCGGAUCGGAGUCUGCAACUCGACUCCGUGAAGUCGGAAUCGCUAGUAAUCGCGAAUCAGAAUGUCGCGGUGAAUACGUUCCCGGGCCUUGUACACACCGCCCGUCACACCAUGGGAGUGGAUUGCACCAGAAGUAGUUAGUCUAACCUUCGGGAGGACGAUUACCACGGUGUGGUUCAUGACUGGGGUGAAGUCGUAACAAGGUAACCGUA
rnacentral:rRNA from 1 species